rnacentral:rRNA from 1 species
AUGUCGCUGCCACCGGUGGACCCGCCGGAGUGGCUGCGCACACUACCCGUGGCGCCGGAGUACCGCCCCACCCUCGCCGAGUUCGCUGACCCCAUCGCCUACAUCCUCAAGAUCGAGCCAGAGGCCUCUCGCUACGGCAUCUGCAAGAUCGUCCCCCCGCUCCCCUCGCCGCCCCGCGAGGCCACCGUUCAGCUCCUCAAGGCCUCGUUCGCCUCCAAUGCGGCCGCUUCCGCUUCCGGCGACGCUGGCCCCACCUUCCCGACGCGGCUCCAGCAGGUGGGCCUCUCCACAAAGAACCGUCGCGGCGCGAACCGUCGCGUCUGGGAGAGCGGCGAGCGCUACACCCUGGAGGCCUUCCGUACCAAGGCCCGCGACUUCGAACUCCCGAGGCACGCGAUACCCCCGAAGCACGCGACGCCCCUCCAGCUGGAGGCGCUCUUCUGGGGUGCUUGCGCUGCGAGGCCAUUCAGUGUCGAGUACGGCAAUGACAUGCCGGGGUCCGGCUUCGUCAAACGGGAGGUGCCAGACCUGGACACUGACAGUCCGGUAGCAGCGCCCAGGGACGUCGGCGAGACGGAGUGGAACAUGAGGGUGGCUCCGCGCGCUCGGGGCUCGCUGCUGCGAGGGAUGAGCCGGGACGUCGCUGGCGUCACGACGCCGAUGCUAUAUGUGGCGAUGCUCUACAGCUGGUUCGCGUGGCACGUGGAGGACCACGAGCUGCAUAGCCUCAACUACCUCCACUUCGGCAAGCCCAAGACUUGGUACGGCGUGCCCCGAGAUGCCAUGCUUGCCUUCGAGGAUGCCGUCCGUGUCCAUGGGUACGCAGACGACCUCAAUGCCAUCAUGGCCUUCCAAACUUUAAAUCAGAAGACAACCGUCUUGUCCCCUGAAGUGCUACUUUCUGUGGGAGUUCCUUGCUGCAGAUUGGUUCAGAACCCUGGAGAAUUUGUUAUCACCUUCCCUGGAGCUUAUCAUUGUGGUUUUAGCCAUGGAUUUAAUUGUGGGGAAGCAACAAAUAUUGCCACUCCUCUCUGGUUGCAGGUGGCCAAAGAAGCUGCAAUCCGGAGGGCUUCAACUAAUUGUGGUCCAAUGAUUUCUCAUUAUCAGCUGCUUUACGAGCUUGCAUUGUCAUUAAGUCAAAGGGAACCUAAGGAUCUCCAUACUCUUCCAAGAAGCUCUCGAUUAAGGGAUAAGAAGAAGAAGGAUGAAGGAGAUACAAUGGUGAAAGAAAAAUUUGUUGGAAGUGUGAUUGAAAAUAACAAUUUGCUUAGUAUCCUUCUGGAUAAGAGUUCUUGUAUAAUUGUUCCUGAGACUCCAUUUCCUCCUACAUCCUUUCCUACGAUGAUGGAACCUGAACUCACUGUUAAACAAAGUUUGACGGGUGGUCACUGUAGUAUUAGUCAGCAAGCAGUGCACAAUAUGUCUGUUGAUGUGGCACUAGACAAAAGUAUAGUAGUAGAGAACAUGAGUCACUCUCAGUCAGUUACUGAAGCAUCUUUAUCUGCAUACAACAGAAGAAAGCUUUAUGAAACAAAAUAUGGUGAACUUGGCACUGCUGCCUUCUGUUUAUCACCAUCCAAGUUGCAGAGUGGAGUAACUGAUAAAGAUAAGAGAGGUGGGCUCUUAGAUCAGGGGCGGUUGCCGUGCGUUCAGUGUGGCAUAUUAAGCUUUGCUUGUGUUGCCAUCAUUCAACCUAGAGAAGUUAGUGAAUCAGAUGGUAUCUCAAAUUGGAUAACCAACAAUAUUGAGAUGGUUCCUCAACAAGGACAAGCUUCGGAAGCACUUACCGUAAGUUUAGCCCAUGUAUCUGAUCGGUGUGGACAACUAUACAGCAGGAACAAUAAUGGAUCAACCUCUGCUCUAGGGCUUCUAGCUUCUACUUACGGAUCAUCAGACUCUGAGGAGGAAUCAAACCAAGGCAAAAAUAAUCAGUUAUUGGAAACAUCAGUUAGCUUCUCAAGUACAGUUCAGCGUCAAAGAUCAAAUUCGCACUUGUAUGAAGAGUGUUGUGAAGCCAAAACCACAACUUCUUUGCUGAAAUCUAUAGAGGAUAAUAGUACGACAAUAACUCGAUGUGGUAGGGACACAGAUAUCAAUCAUUUAGCAAAGCUGAGGGAGCAAGGAACAACCUAUGAUCAGUGUUCUGUCUACGUUGAUUUGGCUAAUGAUCUAACCAUAUCAGGUGUAAAAGCCUAUUCAGAUACUCAUGUAACCACAGCUAAGUCCUCAAUUGAACCAGAUGUGUUGACCCAGCUCAAGUACAACAAUGAUUCUUGCAGAAUGCAUGUAUUUUGUCUAGAACAUGCUUUGGGGACAUGGACACAACUUCAAAAAAUUGGUGGUGCUAAUGUUAUGCUCUUGUGUCAUCCGGAAUAUCCUAGAGCAGAGUCAGCAGCAAAAUUCAUAGCAGAAGAACUUGGUUUGAAGCCUGAUUGGAAAGAUGUAGCUUUUGAAGAAGCAACUGAUGAUGACAUCAGAAGAAUUCAGUUGGCUUUGCAUGAUGAAGAUGCUGAACCUGCAAGCAAUGACUGGGCAGUUAAAAUGGGUAUCAAUAUAUACUACAGUGCAAAACAGAGCAAAUCCCCGCUUUACAGCAAGCAGAUACCAUACAAUUCCAUCAUUUACGAGGCAUUUGGCCAAGAAAACCCAGACAAUUUGACAGAUUAUGGACGGCAAAGAUCAGGCGUGACAAAGAAAAGAGUGGCUGGAUGUUGGUGCGGGAAAGUUUGGAUGUCAAACCAAGUCCAUCCCUUUUUAGUUCGUGAGCAUGAAGAACACAAUCGUGCCAUAGUUUGCAGCAAAGUGAUGCUUGGUGCUAAUUACCAUGAGAUAGUAUACGAUGAACCAUCGCUUACAUGUAAUACAAUGGUUAACUGUAGCCCAUCAAAAAGGAUAUCCAGAAGGAAAGGAAGGGACUCUAUUGAAAAAUCUGGAGCCAGAAAGAAGAGAUGCUCCGCCAAUGAUGAAGCCACUUUACAUUGCAGUAGCCUUGGGAUGAACUCUAAAACCAUCAGCGAUCAGCCUAGAAACUUCGAUGAUCAUGACAAACAUGAAGGAGGUAAAAUUACAGAAGCACCAAGCACUCAGCAAUAUCAACAAUAUACCUUGCAAAGCAUGAACAUGAAGUCAAGUUCUAACAAGCCAAAGGAUGAUAAAGGAAACCGCAAUUUUCUUGACCUUUAUGAUGAAGCUAAUGACGUGGACUGCUGGUUUAACAUAGAUUCUGGAGAUAAUGCUGCAAUACGACACUUGGAAGACAGUCGACAACAAGAACUUGGUACUGUGAAAGCUAAAUCUCCAGGUAAAUUGCAAGGUAAUAUGAGAAAAUCGAGCAAGUGCAAGGCGAGAGAUGAUUCUCUGAAUGGAGACAAGAAAGUGCAAAAGAUGAAUAAGAAAUCAAUUUCUAGGAAGCAAAAGGACGUCGAGAUAAAUACACAGUUUCGAGAAGAAUACGAUGAAGAUAACAACUGGGAGGAAGUUCCAGAAGGAAAAGAUCAUGAUGUGAAAGUGGAAUCUAGAGCCAAAACACGAAGUGGUGAGGAUAAUAAAAGAAACAACAACUCCCAUGAACUACAUGAUGAAGAUAAUGAUAUGGAUUGCUGGCAUGACAUACAUGGCCGAGAUAAUGCCACAAUGGGAAACUUGGAUAACAGUCCAGUACAAAGACUUGAGGCUGCGGAAGUGAAAUCUGGUGGUAAAUUGCAUUGCUGUAAGAGAAAAUCCAGCAAGGGCAAGGCAAAGGAUGAUUACUCAUAUGGAGAUGAGAAAUUGCAAAUGCUGAACAUAGAAUCAAUCUCUAGGAAGCAAAAGAGUGAUAGCCAGUUUGAUGAAGGUUGCGACAGAGAUAACGCUUUGGACUCUUUGCUUAAUGAUGUGGAUGAAGCCGCACGAGAGAACUGUUAUGAAGUUCGGGAAGAAGAAAUGGAUGGCAUGGAAGUGAAGCCUAGAGGGAAGAUGCAAACUGGUAAGAGAAAAACCAGCAGAUGUCAAGCGGGUGAUAAAGCAGCUAAAUUUCCUUGUGAUAUAGAAGGGUGUGACAUGAGCUUCAGCUCACAGCAGGAUUUGUUGUUGCACAAGCGUGAUAUUUGUCCUGUUAAAGGAUGCAAGAAAAAGUUCUUCUGCCAUAAAUACCUGCUCCAGCACCGCAAAGUGCACAUGGAUGAAAGGCCACUCAACUGUGAAUGGAAGGGCUGCAAGAAGACAUUCAAGUGGCCAUGGGCUAGGACAGAACACAUGAGGGUCCAUACGGGGGUGCGACCUUAUGAAUGCAUGGUACCUGGCUGUGGUCAGACAUUCAGAUUUGUGUCGGAUUUCAGCCGCCACAAGAGAAAGACUGGCCAUUCCAGUGGUAAGAAAAAUAAGGAGAGUACAUAA